rnacentral:rRNA from 1 species
UACGUGGGGGGCAAGCGUUGUCCGGAUUUAUUGGGCGUAAAGAGCGUGUAGGCGGCCAGACAGGUCCGUUGUGAAAACUAGAGGCUUAACCUCUAGACGUCGAUGGAAACCGUCUGGCUAGAGUCCGGAAGAGGAGAAUGGAAUUCCUGGUGUAGCGGUGAAAUGCGCAGAUAUCAGGAAGAACACCCGUGGCUAAGGCGGUUCUCUAGUACGGUACUGACGCUGAGACGCGAAAGCGUGGGGAGCGAACAGG